AGCAGUCGCCGCGGUAAUACGGAGGGUGCAAGCGUUAUCCGGAUUCACUGGGUUUAAAGGGUGCGUAGGCGGGCAGGUAAGUCAGUGGUGAAAUCUUCGAGCUUAACUCGGAAACUGCCGUUGAUACUAUCUGUCUUGAAUAACGUUGAGGUGAGCGGAAUAUGUCAUGUAGCGGUGAAAUGCUUAGAUAUGACAUAGAACACCGAUUGCGAAGGCAGCUCACUAAACGCUCAUUGACGCUGAGGCACGAAAGCGUGGGGAUCAAACAGGAUUAGAUACCCCUGUAGUCCCUGUCUCUUAUAC
rnacentral:rRNA from 1 species